AGAGUUUGAUCCUGGCUCAGAUUGAACGCUGGCGGCAUGCCUUACACAUGCAAGUCGAACGCGAAAGGGGGGGCAACUCCCCGAGUAGAGUGGCGAACGGGUGAGUAAUACAUCGGAACGUGUCCAGUAGCGGGGGAUAACCUCUCGAAAGAGAGGCUAAUACCGCAUACGACCUACGGGUGAAAGAGGGGGAUCGCAAGACCUCUCACUAUUGGAGCGGCCGAUGUCGGAUUAGCUAGUUGGCGGGGUAAAAGCCCACCAAGGCUACGAUCUGUAGCUGGUCUGAGAGGACGAUCAGCCACACUGGGACUGAGACACGGCCCAGACUCCUACGGGAGGCAGCAGUGGGGAAUCUUGCGCAAUGGGCGAAAGCCUGACGCAGCCAUGCCGCGUGAGUGAAGAAGGUCUUAGGAUUGUAAAGCUCUUUCGCUCGUGACGAUGAUGACGGUAACGAGAGAAGAAGCCCCGGCUAACUUCGUGCCAGCAGCCGCGGUAAUACGAAGGGGGCUAGCGUUGUUCGGAAUUACUGGGCGUAAAGCGCGCGUAGGCGGUUUUGCAAGCCAGAGGUGAAAUGCCUGAGCUCAACUUAGGAAUUGCCUUUGGGACUGCGAGGCUUUGAGGACUGGAGAGGUGAGUGGAAUUCCCAGUGUAGAGGUGAAAUUCGUAGAUAUUG
rnacentral:rRNA from 1 species